rnacentral:rRNA from 1 species
UACAGAGGUCUCAAGCGUUGUUCGGAUUCAUUGGGCGUAAGGGGUGCGUAGGCGGCGGGGUAAGUCUGAUGUGAAAUCCCGGGGCUCAACCCCGGAACUGCAUUGGAUACUGCCUUGCUUGAGUACUGGAGAGGAGACUGGAAUUUACGGUGUAGCAGUGAAAUGCGUAGAUAUCGUAAGGAAGACCAGUGGCGAAGGCGAGUCUCUGGACAGUUACUGACGCUGAGGCACGAAGGCCAGGGGAGCAAACGGG